rnacentral:rRNA from 1 species
AGUGAACGCUGGCGGUAGGCCUAACACAUGCAAGUCGAACGGCAGCACAGUAAGAGCUUGCUCUUACGGGUGGCGGGUGGCGGACGGGUGAGGAAUACAUCGGAAUCUACUUUUUCGUGGGGGAUAACGUAGGGAAACUUACGCUAAUACCGCAUACGACCUACGGGUGAAAGCAGGGGAUCUUCGGACCUUGCGCGAUUGAAUGAGCCGAUGUCGGAUUAGCUAGUUGGCGGGGUAAAGGCCCACCAAGGCGACGAUCCGUAGCUGGUCUGAGAGGAUGAUCAGCCACACUGGAGCUGAGACACGGUCCAGACUCCUGCGGGAGGCAGCAGUGGGGAAUAUUGGACAAUGGGCGCAAGCCUGAUCCAGCCAUACCGCGUGGGUGAAGAAGGCCUUCGGGUUGUAAAGCCCUUUUGUUGGGAAAGAAAAGCAGCAGGUUAAUACCCCGCUGUUCUGACGGUACCCAAAGAAUAAGCACCGGCUAACUUCGUG